rnacentral:lncRNA from 1 species
GGAGGAAGAAUCCCGGAAGCUGCCACAUGAUAUUUCUGCUUACGUAGCAUUUCACGCAGAAUACUGGGGAGUCAAAACUUUGUGCCCGCAACUCUGGGAAUGAUUUAAAGGCUGAUCCCUGACCAUUUUGAAAUUAUACCAUUUGGUAGACAAUCAAAUGCCCCUGCUGACUCUACUCAUGAUUGUUCUCAAGGAGUCCCUGAAGUGGAGCCUAAACCUUCAAACCAUGAGUCCAAAUUUAUAGAUUAGCCCUGAGGUAACAUCUGCUGCCAAUCCUCCUCUUUUUGCUGAGGAACAGUGGUCCUGAGCUAACAUCCAUGCCAAUAUUCCUCUACUUUCUAUGUGGGAUGCCUACCACAGCAUGGCUUUUUGCCAAGCAGUGCCAUGUCUGCACCUGGAAUCUGAACUGGCAAACCCUGGGCCGCCAAGAAGCGGAACGUGAGAACUUAACGGCUACGCCACCGGGCUGGCCCCGACUAAUAAAUUUUUAAAAAGGAUAUAAUAUAGAAGAUCAAC